CCUUCGAUAGCUCAGUUGGUAGAGCGGUGGACUGUAGUUGGUUAACCAUCAGAAAUCCAUAGGUCGCUGGUUCGAAUCCGGCUCGAAGGA
rfam:Ciona intestinalis ciona0010, whole genome shotgun sequence.